GCAGUGGUAGCUCAGUGGUUAAGCUGUUGGACUAUUGCUCAGAAGGUCAUGAGUUCAAACCUUACCACUACU